UACGUAGGGGGCAAGCGUUGUCCGGGAUUAUUGGGCGUAAAGGGCUCGUAGGCGGUUUCUUAAGUCUGAUGUGAAAGCCCACGGCUCAACCGUGGAGGGUCAUUGGAAACUGGGGGACUUGAGUGCAGAAGAGGAAAGCGGAAUUCCACGUGUAGCGGUGAAAUGCGUAGAGAUGUGGAGGAACACCAGUGGCGAAGGCGGCUUUCUGGUCUGUAACUGACGCUGAGGCGCGAAAGCGUGGGGAGCAAACAGG
rnacentral:rRNA from 1 species